rnacentral:misc_RNA from 1 species
GUAUUGAUUGCGUAUCGCAAAGUGGGGUCAUUCUACACUUUUUAAAAGGGGUUUGUGUGAAAACGCAAGCCCCCUCCUGGAUCGAUUCGAUCCCAAAGGGCGCCCACGCGGUGGUGCACAAAAGGGUGAGAUGGAUUUUAUGUGAGAGGACACGCUCUGGCGUGCACGACUUUAAAAAGUCAGCGACAGCCCUCGCAUGCCCUCACACAUUUUGUACGAUAAUGAUCCUUCCGCAGGUUCACCUACGGAAA